GAUGAACGCUGGCGGCGUGCCUAAUACAUGCAAGUCGAGCGAACAGAUGAGGAGCUUGCUCCUCUGACGUUAGCGGCGGACGGGUGAGUAACACGUGGAUAACCUACCUAUAAGACUGGGAUAACUUCGGGAAACCGGAGCUAAUACCGGAUAAUAUAUUGAACCGCAUGGUUCAAUAGUGAAAGACGGUUUUGCUGUCACUUAUAGAUGGAUCCGCGCCGCAUUAGCUAGUUGGUAAGGUAACGGCUUACCAAGGCAACGAUGCGUAGCCGACCUGAGAGGGUGAUCGGCCACACUGGAACUGAGACACGGUCCAGACUCCUACGGGAGGCAGCAGUAGGGAAUCUUCCGCAAUGGGCGAAAGCCUGACGGAGCAACGCCGCGUGAGUGAUGAAGGUCUUCGGAUCGUAAAACUCUGUUAUUAGGGAAGAACAAAUGUGUAAGUAACUAUGCACGUCUUGACGGUACCUAAUCAGAAAGCCACAGCUAACUACGUG
rnacentral:rRNA from 1 species